GCUAAGAAUAUUCCGCAAUGGACGAAAGUCUGACGGAGCGACGCCGCGUGGAUGACGAAGGCCGUGAGGUUGUAAAAUCCUUUUGCUGGGGAAGAAUAAGCGCGGGAGGGAAUGCCCGCGUGAUGACAUGAACCGGCGAAUAAGCCCCGGCCAACUACGUGCCAGCAGCCGCGGUAACACGUAGGGGGCAAGCGUUGUUCGGAAUUACUGGGCGUAAAGGGCAUGUAGGCGGUCCUGUAAGCCUGGCGUGAAAGGCUGCGGCUCAACCGUAGCACUGCGCUGGGAACUGCGGGACUGGAGUCACGGAGGGGGAGCUAGAAUUCCGGGUGUAGGGGUGAAAUCUGUAGAUAUCCGGAAGAAUACCAGUGGCGAAGGCGAGCUCCUGGCCGAUGACUGACGCUGAGGUGCGAAAGCGUGGGGAGCAAACAGGAUUAGAAACCCGAGUAGUCC
rnacentral:rRNA from 1 species